UGCUGCCGCGGAUCCCUGGAGGGGUGUCCUCGCACCGCCACGAGCUGCGGGUUCUUGGCCUGAAUACCACAUUCCUCGGCCAACUCGCGAACCACAGCGUCCUGAGGAUCCUCGUUGUACUCGACGAAACCACCAGGGAACGCGAGCUUACCCUUGAAAGGUUCUCGAGCACGCGUCACAAGCAGGAUCUCGAGUGCCUCCCGCGGUCCACGAAGCACUGCCGCAUCAACUGUGAGUGCUGGUGAGCGAUAGCGACUGCCGCGAACUUCGUGAUCCACCGAAGGGCUCCUUGAGGAAGGACGCUCUCCUGCGACCUCCGCCGGUACCGGCUGUCCACUGCGAAGUGCGCCCAGGAGCGCGUUCAGGCGUCCGCGUAACGCGCUUGCUUCCGGUGGCGGUGGCAGACAAUCAAUCAAAAACUCAACCUCGUCCAGCGUAAGCACUAUUGGGCCACGGUUUGCCCCGCCACGGAGGCGUAAGAAGCGAGCCAUGGCCGUAAACGGUCGCCAGAGCGUCGCAAGCAGCAGCACCAGCACACGCUCUCGGAGUCGUUUACCGGUUGGCUCGCGCUGAUUGAUCCACAUGGAAGCGCGGCACUGCGUUGCUUCUGCCACGCAAAGCUGCGCCCGCGUCCGUGUGCGUCAACGCGACACCUCAACAAACGAGACAGUCAUACGCGUAUCCUGUGAAAGUUUAAACAUUCAAGAACUCGGUAUCAACCGAUGAGCGUGCGGGCACUAUAAGUCCUCUGAAGCUGACGCUAUCCUCGAGCGUUCCAGGUGUUGCACGGCGUGGUGACUCUCCCAGUGAGGCUCCGCGCACGACAGACCUCACGGUAACGUUUCACGGUCAAAGAGAGUAUUCUCCAGUCGAGGGCGGCGGACACCACUGCCAGCUGCUGUACGCGCUGGUAGUUGUCACCUAAGCGGUUCGUUGGCUUUACCUGCGGCCUACUCUGGUUGCGCUGGGUAGCAGGACGUCCCCGAAGGGGUACCAGCAGAGGCCGGCAGCGCACGUACCGCUGUCACUUCUAAUGAUGCCGCUGCUGGUGGGGCGAAGCACGCCUCUAAGUCGUAAAAGUCGGUAAGGAAAACUCGAGGAUGAGGUCACCCUUGCGCAGCACGGUGCCUACAGCGGCGCGAAUCGAACCAACGACAAGUGUUUGCGCACCUGGAGGCAAGGAUGGAGCGUGGAGCAUGUUCCGCAUUUUCAUGGAUUCCAGUAUCGCCACCGGCUGCUUUGGCUGAACCUCGUCACCCACGGAAACUAGGACUGCAACGAGUAUACCGGGCAUGGGCGCAUGCAGGGCUCGCCAAGCAUUCGCCUCGACUGGCGCUGCUGAUACUGGCUUUCGGAUGCGCUCCCAAAGCAUCAGCUCGUCUUCAUCGAAAAGGCGCUGCACAGUGAUAGGCAUACCGCGAAACAGCAGCCGAGGAGCUCUGCGUGGUGCCAUCACGAACAACGGCGACUCGGGCGUGUCCGACAGGGCGUCAAGUCCGUCGCUGUCCUGCAGAGGCAGCGGCGCUGUGGCUCCAGAACUCGCAACCGAACCUGCCACCGUGUCAUGCUCCCGGUCAAAGCGCACUAGUCCAUAUUCGACGGUAAGCGCUGCAAUCGGUUUCUUGGUCCCAGGAUCGACCUUCAUUCGAUUUGCCAUGAGCUGGAGCGCUCUGCGCGCAUCGGACUCGUUGAAAUGCAGAGCGUAAUCUUUCAGAAAACGGGUAGUGUAUAUCCCGUUCGCAAAAUCUGCAUCCUUGGCGACAAUAUCCCGCAACAGACCUGUUGUGUGCUCGACGCCAUCAAUGAGCAACGCGUCGAGCGCCAGAGCCAGUCUUCGACGUGCCGCGGUUCUCGUUUCUCCGUGAGCGAUCACCUUGGUCAGCAGCGAGUCGAAGAGUGGCGAAACCGAAUCGCCCUCAUCGUAGCCGCUGUCGACGCGCACCCCAGGUUGCGAUACGGGAAGGCGAAACUUGUGCAGGCGACCUGUACUGGGUACCAGUGAGCCCGCAGACCAGCCCUCUGCGCAGAUACGCGCCUCCAGGGCCCAGCCUCGCGAGCGCAGCAUUCGGCACGUUUCAAACGGUGGAUCGUGAUCCAACUCGAGUCUGGUGAUGUUCUCGGGUUCAUCUAGAUCGACAACCUGGUUCGAUGCCGCCCGAAUCAUGUGUUCGAUGAGGUCUACACCGGUGACCGCCUCACUCACAGCGUGUUCAACCUGGAGUCGCGCGUUCAUUUCCAGAAAAAAAUGCUCUUUCGUGUGCGCAUGCACGAGGAAUUCCACUGUCCCCACCGAAUCGUACUCGAUAGCACGCGCAAUUCUGGAGGCAUCGUGGAAGAGUCGCCAGCGCAGGCGCUUAUCGACGAGCGGACUCGGCGAUUCUUCCAGUAGCUUCUGGUUAUGGCGCUGGAUGCUGCAUUCGCGCUCUGGAAAGACAACCAGAUUCCCGUGGCGAUCACCGAGUAUCUGCACCUCAAUGUGACGUACUGGCUCGAGGUAUUUCUCGAGGAGCAGCCGGGAGUCGCCGAACGCCUGUUUCGCCUCGGCAGCACAGACCUCAAACUGGGUACGCAGCUCCUGUUCGUGGUGGAUGACGCGGAGCCCUCGACCGCCGCCUCCGGAUGCAGCCUUGAGAACAACCGGGAAGCCCAGCUCUCUGGCAAUAUAGCCUGCGUGGUCAACAUGCUCAAGUGGAUCCACGUAACCCGGCACGACAGGGAUGCCGAGCGCUUUCACGAACUUUUUCGCUUCAAUUUUAUCGCUCAGUCGAGCAAUGGCACGUGCAGACGGUCCUAUAAACGUCAUGCCUGCCUGCUGAACGGCAUCUGCACAGUCGGCUCUCUCUGCGAGGAAGCCAUAACCCGGAAAGACCGCGUCUGCGCGUGCCCUGCGAGCUGCAGCAACGACCUCGCUUAUGGAGACGUAGGACUCGAUUCGCUGCUUUCGGACUGCUUCUCGAACGUGUGUUCCUGUUUCAUCCGCUUUGGUAUAAACAACAACAGGCUCGA
rnacentral:misc_RNA from 1 species